CCUACGGGUGGCAGCAGUGAGGAAUAUUGGUCAAUGGGCGCAAGCCUGAACCAGCCAAGCCGCGUGAGGGAUGAAGGUCCUAUGGAUUGUAAACCUCUUUUGUCAGGGAGCAAAGGGCGCCACGAGUGGCGCUUUGCGAGUACCUGAAGAAAAAGCAUCGGCUAACUCCGUGCCAGCAGCCGCGGUAAUACGGAGGAUGCGAGCGUUAUCGGGAUUUAUUGGGUGAAAAGGGUGCGCAGGCGGAAUGUAAAGUCAGCGGUAAAAGGACGGGGCCCAACCCCGUCGUGCCGUUGAAACUGGCGGGCUUGAGUGAACGAGAGGUAAGCGGAAUGCGUGGUGUAGCGGUGAAAUGCAUAGAUAUCACGAAGAACUCCGGUUGCGAAGGCAGCGGACCGGCGCUCAACUGACGCUGAUGCACGAAAGCGUGGGUAUCGAACAGGAUUAGAUACCCGGGUAGUC
rnacentral:rRNA from 1 species